CUUUGUUCCUGUAGAAGAAGGAUGGUUCCUGUAAAAACACAUUGCCUCCAGGCUUAAGCACUUUGGCCAAUUCUGAUAGCCAUAGUUGGGUGUGAAAACCAGGCUUCUCUGAGACUCAAAUAAUAGUAGACAAUGAAGAUGACUUAAAAUAAAGGCUUCCUUCUGCACUAAAAAACAUAGAUACAAACAUUAUUAGAAGCAGAUUCCACAUUAUUACUAAAUCAAACAGACAUAACUUUGAAAUACAACUUCCACACGCACACACACACACACAACGAAACAAAAAACAAAAGAAAGAAGAGAAUAAAACAAAAAAUUGUGAAAUUCAAACCUUGGAAUUACAUGAUCACCUUUUAGGUCCACAUGGCAACCCAUGUAGAAGGCACAUCACCUCCUCUACUGAACUUGUUCUCAUGUGUCAGCCUCAUGAGGUGAAACAUGGACUGAUGGGAUCUCACCACGAGUAAAUCCUCCCUCCAUGAUAGCUUUCAUCUGCCCGAAGCUAACGUGCAAGUUACAUUAGUCUCAAGCCAAGGCAUUCUGAGGCAAUAUCCAAGGAGCCUCCUAGAGAGCUUAGUUUUCCUCUCUUGAUUGACUUGAGUUUUUGCCUAAGAAUGCCCAUCUUCACUUACGCCAAUAUGCUUGGACCUCCCUCGUUUUGGCCGAGUGAAUUUUUUGCUUGAGUGUACUCCUAUGAUGUACACUUCAUUUUCCAAUGGCACCAUGAUGCUCCCACACUUGCCUAAGUCGAAAGCAGAGCCUAGGGUUCCCUCAAGAAUGGUUGGAGUUCAGGGUUUGUCAAGGUGCUCAUCCCAUCUUCCCUCGAGGGACUAAUACCUUGAUUGGUCUUCCGAAAUAGAAAUAGCGAGAUCUUACAUAAAGACAGCUCUAGAUUAUGACAAACAUAUGUGGUGUGCUCCUACCCAACGAGCUUGCCCCAUUACUCUUACAACUGAGAACAUAUUGGUUUCACCAUCUCCACUACUACUAAUUGGGGUCGUUCCACUAAGAAAUGUUAGACCAUGUAGAGAGCCAGUCACUUGUCCCUCGACCACAUGCCUUCAGCACUUGUGAUAUACCGAGUUCCAUGGUUUGGCUACUCCUACAAAUAGUGAGCCUCCAUCUGCUUUGUCUCCUUGCAAGAAGCAAUCUCUCCCCAACCCCUAGGAUCUGGCUCUCCAUCUCCACUACCUCUAUUGUUGCUCUCUCCCUCACCUCCCAAGACCACCUCUACUGCUCACCCGGCCCAUCUUCAAUGAUCCAAUUACAUCAAUCGCCAUAGUAUUUCCCAUAAGGUUCCCUUUACCAGCUUACUUAUCUCCAACUGCCCACACACCUUAAAACACCUCAAUUUCCAAGCUUACAUAAGAAGCUAACCAUCCAUUUAGUUGCCAAGAUAUUUGAGGGAAAUAAUAGAAAAUUCUAAAACAAUUAGAACUGCAGCUAAUCCUCCCUUUGGUCUCCAAGCAACUUGGAUAACUCAAAGUAUUGCUAUCUUUCUUUCCAUUACGUUCACUGUUUUUUAAAAUUGAAAUCUGAUAUUUAAUUUUUUUUCUCCAAAAAAAAAUAAUCUACCCCAAGAGGAUAUAGUGAAGUGUAGGUUUUUCUUGACUCGGGCACUAAUCAUGUUCCCCUGAUUCUAAAUUUUAUAAUUUAUUUCCUUUUCCCAACUUUUCUUAGGAACCAAACAAGAUCAUAACACAUAAAGAUCAAAACCCUAUAGUCGAAUAAAUGAAUAGAACAGUGACAAAGAACUUGUAGAAAAUUGAAAUUAGUUUUUUUUUUUUUAAAA